rnacentral:lncRNA from 1 species
UUUCUCACUGUGCUCAUCUAUCUAGCUAAUGCUCUUCAGUCUGCAUCUCCUACAUUUGCCUCCCCCAUCCCUAAGCUGAUCUCUCAACCUGGCAUACAAGAAGUGUUAUGGGUGCAUUUCUCAUCCGUGUUACAGGAGAAAAGCUGCCCUUCUUGUACCGUUUGGGGAGGAGGGAGAAGGUGGAGGAGCCCUCCACAAAGAGGUGAGGCCAGCAGGUGCCCUUUCCUUUUCUGGGGUUGUCUGCUUGUCCUGGAGGAAGAUGAAUCUUGGCUCAGAGACAAAACCACAAAACAUCUAUUGAAUAAUCUGCUACAGGUGACAAAGGCAGCAGUGAUAAGGGAAAAGAGAAACUUCCUGAAGGCAAAAUGCAGGUCACCUGGAAAUGCUGACUUCAGCCUUCUCACAUUUCCAUUUGACCUCCUGUCACAAACUAGCCAAAGCUCUAAAAGGACCCACUUUAUCUCCUCACAGAGGGGAAACCUGCCUCCCUGCAACAUUUAUCUAAAGUGGUUAUGCUGUAAAAAUGUGAUGACUGCCUCUGCAGCACUCACCUGCUUCUAUAAUGGGAUAAUUACAGAUAAAGGUGGCAGGAGCCUUCUGCUGGCUUACUUAGACCUUCCACACCUGACUUUGAGAGGACCAAAGGAAGCUUGCAGAGCGAUCAAGCAGCCCUACAGAUUACUGGGGGUAGUUGUUCACCUUGUUCCUCGUCUUCUCAGAAAGUGACGCUUCACUAGUUUCCCCACCCUGAGUGGAUGAGUAUCUGGACAACGCAGACCACUCAUGCAUUGAGAAUGACAAGAAACAGAAACUGUUUGAUGUCUUGGAAUAAAACACCAUCAGCAUCGCUUUACCA